AGAAAUGGAUGAUUAUUCUCCUAACAUGGUUCAGUCAAAAAUGUUUAAAGUUCUACUUUGGAUAGAAAGAUCUUGAGAUGGAAUUAUUUCCAAUGUCUUGUCCUACAUACAUGAUUUUUAAAGGAUUUCUCGCAGAAACACUUGUGAGAUAAACAUUCUGACCUUUAUUGAAUAUGCUUGUGCCUUAUAAGCUAUGCGUAACAAUGAAAAAGUAUUGAGUACAAGCUUCACAUGGAUUUGUGUUGGAAGUGAAAGCACAGUGUGAGCAAAAUCAGGUUUUCAUACACUUGUUAAAAUCCAAGUAUAGACUGUCCUUUUUUUUUUUUGUCUAUUUCAUGUCAAACCCAGAACAUAUCUCCAAUAUGUUUCAAAUCCCAUGAGGAUUUAGGUAUUUAAGUACGACAAAAAUGAACAGAAACAGAAUUGAUUAGAACCUUGUCAGUGGUUUAAGGUCACUCUUUGUACGCACCUGGAAUUAUGUUCGUUGCUCUUUGUAAGAUAAAGCACUGUGUCUUACUAUUGGCAUCAAUACAUUUCAAGCAGCUAACAGCCAGAUCUUUAUAGUUCACAGUAUUGGCUAAGCAACGUCCUCUUUAACCUUAUUGAAUAUUCAGUGAGAUCCUGCUGUAGACAGCCAGGAAAUAAUUCACAACUCGAUACAUUAAUAAUCUCCGGACACUAGUACUUGACAAAUAUCUUAAGUCAUUUGUUAUGUUAUACUACUUACAAAUAUUAAAUGCAUUUAUUAUGGAACAAGCCAUAUGGAGCAAUCAUAGGGUGUUUGCCUAGCUAUAUUAUUGUGGGCAGCCCCAUAUGGCAUAACAAUGGCUUGUGUGGCCCUCAGCACACACCAUUGCUACCACAGAACCACUCUUUAAAUGUUAUAUAUGUAGCGAAAUGUGGUCGCUCUACAAGAUUUAUUCCCCUUUGUUCGGCUGUCCAUACCCCCCUGUUUGGUUCCCGAAUGGAAGAUGUGUGGUCCCCCUUUUUAUACCCCCUCCCCCCGAUCACCAACCUCCUCUGGCUGUUAACCACAAAUGAGCAAUUAGCUGAAGAUCUUUCCCUGGGUGGUCACUAUUUGUAUACCCAAACACACGUGCUCUAGGGAAUGGUGGCCAUUUUUUGUCUCCUGAAUGCAGGUAGCGGUACAUGGUCGUCGAAUGUGUGGAACUCUGGGCAGGCUACGUGAUCCCUAGAAUGCUGGGGAAAGCUGUACUGCUACCUGUUCAGCUUCUAGACAAGUUAGGAGAAUGGCGUUUGGGAGAAAGGAACUACCGACUAGGAGGAGCAUUCGCUCCCUGAAAGCCAGGGGGAGCAUUUGUCAGUGUUCGCACAGAAACCCCCGAAAAUAGACUGUCCGUUGCAUCUUUUCCUGUGUAACUAUUUAAAGCUAGUACCCCAUGGCUGGCCGGUCAGAACUUUACCUGAAUUGGCUAUUCCAAAGGGAUCUGGCCGCUAUUUGGAUUACUUGGGCACUCAGAUCUGGGCUAUACAGGGAUAUAACAUUUGUGGGGUUCCUGUAUAUCAUGGAUAUAUUUUUGGGGUAUUUUGUUUAAUUUUGAAUUGUUUUUUAUAACUGAAAGAUAAUUGAGUUAUCCUUUCCUUGAAUCAAUUAUCUCUCAGACACAGAGAUACCUGGGAGGGGUUUGUAUUCUAUUCUAUGGAGACCCCAUGCUGGGGGUCUGUAAAUAAAAGAUCGAGACAUAAUAAAACUCAGUUGACUCCCAGAACUAUGUGUCAUCUAGUUACUGGGGGGAAAGAGUUAUAAUCACAACAGUGUUUCUUAAAGCUUCGAGGAAGAAUCAGUGGAGAUGUCUAGUUGGGGUAUCGGAGCUCCACUACAAUAUAAAACCCAAAUAUAUGGCUAUCAUAGGACAAUGUAAAUACAGUUUUAAUGAAGCUCCAUACUACAAGCAGAAAUGUUUUGACCUUAUAAUGAGGUAUUUAUCAAGCUUGAUAUGAAGUGUUAUUGCUAGGAUUGCGUGGUAUAUCUACUAAUUGUUAAAAAGUAAUAACAGAUAUGCUGUGUUGAUUAUUAAGAGAACUGCACAUGUUCUUUCCUAAGUACUUGUGGGGCUUCAGCCAAGGGCAUUUUGGCAACUUUGGGACACAUCUCUCUAUACCAUUGAUGGCGAACCUUUUUGAGCCCGCAUGCCCAAACCGCAAUACAUGCCAACUUUUCUUUCCUUAAAGUGCCAACAUGGCAAUUAAACCUUAAUACUGAGGUUUAAGUUUAGAAAAAACAACUCGUCCUGUUGUCCGAACUAAUUAACAACUUUUGUUUUAAAAGAACACAACAGAGAGUUAAAUGAUACAAAUUUUAAAUAAUGAUAUAAAUAGAUAAAAUUAAGCUUCUAUUUAUUAGUAUCUCCAACAAAUGCAAUACAUACACACGCACAGACUGCUGAAUACAGAGACUGAAGAAUACACACACACA
rnacentral:lncRNA from 1 species